rnacentral:rRNA from 1 species
GAAAGAUGGCUUUGGCUAUCACUCUGGGAUGGACCUGCGGUGCAUUAGCUAGUUGGUAAGGUAACGGCUUACCAAGGCGAUGAUGCAUAGCCGAGUUGAGAGACUGAUCGGCCACAAUGGAACUGAGACACGGUCCAUACCCCUACGGGAGGCAGCAGUAGGGAAUCUUCCACAAUGGGCGCAAGCCUGAUGGAGCAACACCGCGUGAGUGAAGAAGGGUUUCGGCUCGUAAAGCUCUGUUGUUGGAGAAGAACGUGCGUGAGAGUAACUGUUCACGCAGUGACGGUAUCCAACCAGAAAGUCACGGCUAACUACGUGCCAGCAGCCGCGGUAAUACGUAGGUGGCAAGCGUUAUCCGGAUUUAUUGGGCGUAAAGCGAGCGCAGGCGGUUGCUUAGGUCUGAUGUGAAAGCCUUCGGCUUAACCGAAGAAGUGCAUCGGAAACCGGGCGACUUGAGUGCAGAAGAGGACAGUGGAACUCCAUGUGUAGCGGUGGAAUGCGUAGAUAUAUGGAAGAACACCAGUGGCGAAGGCGGCUGUCUGGUCUGCAACUGACGCUGAGGCUCGAAAGCAUGGGUAGCGAACAGGAUUAGAUACCCUGGUAGUCCAUGCCGUAAACGAUGAGUGCUAGGUGUUGGAGGGUUUCCGCCCUUCA